GAUGAACGCUGGCGGCGUGCCUAAUACAUGCAAGUCGAGCGAACAGAUGAGGAGCUUGCUCCUCUGACGUUAGCGGCGGACGGGUGAGUAACACGUGGAUAACCUACCUAUAAGACUGGGAUAACUUCGGGAAACCGGAGCUAAUACCGGAUAAUAUAUUGAACCGCAUGGUUCAAUAGUGAAAGACGGUUUUGCUGUCACUUAUAGAUGGAUCCGCGCCGCAUUAGCUAGUUGGUAAGGUAACGGCUUACCAAGGCAACGAUGCGUAGCCGACCUGAGAGGGUGAUCGGCCACACUGUAACUGAGACACGGUCCAGACUCCUACGGUAGGCAGCAGUAGGGAAUCUUCCGCAAUGGGCGAAAGCCUGACGGAGCAACGCCGCGUGAGGGAUGAAGGUCUUCGGAUCGUAAAACUCUGUUAUUAGGGAAGAACAAAUGUGUAAGUAACUAUGCACGUCUUGACGGUACCUAAUCAGAAAGCCACGGCUAACUACGUG
rnacentral:rRNA from 1 species